rnacentral:rRNA from 1 species
GAUCAUGGCUCAGGAUGAACGCUAGCUACAGGCUUAACACAUGCAAGUCGGGGGGCAGCAUUUCAGUUUGCUUGCAAACUGGAGAUGGCGACCGGCGCACGGGUGAGUAACACGUAUCCAACCUGCCGAUAACUCGGGGAUAGCCUUUCGAAGGAAAGAUUAAUACCCGAUGGUAUAAUUAGACCGCAUGGUCUUGUUAUUAAAGAAUUUCGGUUAUCGAUGGGGAUGCGUUCCAUUAUG